GGAGGGGUAGCGAAGCCUGGUCAAACGCGCAGGACUCAAGAUCAAUGAAUGCGCACGGCACAGCACAUUUCUUCUCGCCACAUUCAGAACAGCGAGAUGAGUGAUCCCGUCCCUUAGGGGUUCGUGGGUUCAAAUCCCACCCCCUCCA
rnacentral:tRNA from 1 species